AACGAACGCUGGCGGCAUGCCUUACACAUGCAAGUCGAACGGUAACAGGUUAAGCUGACGAGUGGCGAACGGGUGAGUAAUGUAUCGGAACGUGCCCAGUCGUGGGGGAUAACUGCUCGAAAGCGAAGCUAAUACCGCAUACGACCGGAGGGUGAAAGCGGGGGAUCGCAAGACCUCGCGCGAUUGGAGCGGCCGAUAUCAGAUUAGGUAGUUGGUGAGGUAAAGGCUCACCAAGCCGACGAUCUGUAGCUGGUCUGAGAGGACGACCAGCCACACUGGGACUGAGACACGGCCCAGACUCCUACGGGAGGCAGCAGUGGGGAAUUUUGGACAAUGGGCGCAAGCCUGAUCCAGCCAUGCCGCGUGCGGGAAGAAGGCCUUCGGGUUGUAAACCGCUUUUGUCAGGGAAGAAAAGGUUCUGGCUAAUACCUGGGACUCAUGACGGUACCUGCAGAAUAAGCACCGGCUAACUACGUGCCAGCCGCCGCGGUAA
rnacentral:rRNA from 1 species